UUCUAUCAAGAAAAAUUGUCAUUACACUUUCUGACUGAAUUACCAAGCAUGAUUAACUGAGACUAUGGAUAUUAUUCAACCAUCUAAUUCUUGGUCUACCCUUAAGUCUCCUGCCAGUUGGCUCAACUUGAAGAAUCCAUUUUGCAUUUCUCCAGUGACAUU